GAAAUGCGAAAAGUAAUGCGAAUUGCAGAAUUCAGCGAGUCAUCGAAUCUUUGAACGCACCUUGCGCUCCUUGGUAUUCCUUGGAGCAUGCCUGUUUGAGUAUCAUGAAAUCUUCAAAGUAAAUCUUUUGUUAACUCAAUUGGUUUCUACUUUGGUAUUGGAGGUCUUUGCAGCUUCACACCUGCUCCUCUUUGUUCAUUAGCUGGAUCUCAGUGUUAUGCUUGGUUCCACUCGGCGUGAUAAGUUAUCUAUCGCUGAGGACACUGUAAAAGGUGGCCAAGGUAAAUGCAGAUGAACCGCUUCUAAUAGUCCAUUGACUUGGACAAUACUUUUAUGAUCUGAUCUCAAAUCAGGUAGGACUACCCGCUGAACUUAAGC
rnacentral:misc_RNA from 1 species